CACGGGGGGAGCAAGCGUUGUUCGGAAUCACUGGGCGUAAAGCGCACGUAGGCGGAUGUGUCAGUCAGGGGUGAAAUCCCGGGGCUCAACCUCGGAACUGCCUUUGAUACAGCACGUCUCGAGUCCGGAAGAGGUGGGUGGAAUUCCUAGUGUAGAGGUGAAAUUCGUAGAUAUUAGGAAGAACACCGGUGGCGAAGGCGGCCCACUGGUCCGGUACUGACGCUGAGGUGCGAAAGCGUGGGGAGCAAACAGG
rnacentral:rRNA from 1 species